AGACCCGAAACCCGGUGAUCUAGCCAUGGGCAGGUUGAAGGUUGGGUAACACUAACUGGAGGACCGAACCGACUAAUGUUGAAAAAUUAGCGGAUGACCUGUGGCUGGGGGUGAAAGGCCAAUCAAACCGGGAGAUAGCUGGUUCUCCCCGAAAGCUAUUUAGGUAGCGCCUCGUGAAUUCAUCUCCGGGGGUAGAGCACUGUUUCGGCUAGGGGGCCAUCCCGGCUUACCAACCCGAUGCAAACUGCGAAUACCGGAGAAUGUUAUCACGGGAGACACACGGCGGGUGCUAACGUCCGUCGUGAAGAGGGAAACAACCCAGACCGCCAGCUAAGGUCCCAAAGUCAUGGUUAAGUGGGAAACGAUGUGGGAAGGCCCAGACAGCCAGGAUGUUGGCUUAGAAGCAGCCAUCAUUUAAAGAAAGCGUAAUAGCUCACUGGUCGAGUCGGCCUGCGCGGAAGAUGUAACGGGGCUAAACCAUGCACCGAAGCUGCGGCAGCGACGCUGAUGCGUUGUUGGGUAGGGGAGCGUUCUGUAAGCCUGUGAAGGUGGCCUGUGAGGGUUGCUGGAGGUAUCAGAAGUGCGAAUGCUGACAUAAGUAACGAUAAAGCGGGUGAAAAGCCCGCUCGCCGGAAGACCAAGGGUUCCUGUCCAACGUUAAUCGGGGCAGGGUGAGUCGACCCCUAAGGCGAGGCCGAAAGGCGUAGUCGAUGGGAAACGGGUUAAUAUUCCCGUACUUGGUGUUACUGCGAAGGGGGGACGGAGAAGGCUAUGUUGGCCGGGCGACGGUUGUCCCGGUUUAAGCGUGUAGGUGUGUGUUCCAGGUAAAUCCGGUUCACUUUAACACUGAGGCGUGAUGACGAGGCACUACGGUGCUGAAGCAACAAAUGCCCUGCUUCCAGGAAAAGCCUCUAAGCAUCAGGUAACAUCAAAUCGUACCCCAAACCGACACAGGUGGUCAGGUAGAGAAUACCAAGGCGCUUGAGAGAACUCGGGUGAAGGAACUAGGCAAAAUGGUGCCGUAACUUCGGGAGAAGGCACGCUGACA
rnacentral:rRNA from 1 species